GGGGUCAUAGCUCAGUUGGGAGAGCGCUUGAAUGGCAUUCAAGAGGUCAUCGGUUCGAUUCCGUCUGGCUCCACCA
rnacentral:tRNA from 1 species